ACUUACAUUGAAGCCUAGCGAUAUGUAAGUUAGUGGCGGACGGGUGAGUAACGCGUGGGUAACCUGCCUUGUACUGGGGGACAACAGUUGGAAACGACUGCUAAUACCGCAUAAGCGCACAGUACCGCAUGGUACAGUGUGAAAAACUCCGGUGGUAUGAGAUGGACCCGCGUCUGAUUAGCCAGUUGGCGGGGUAACGGCCCACCAAGGCGACGAUCAGUAGCCGACCUGAGAGGGUGACCGGCCACAUUGGGACUGAGACACGGCCCAGACUCC
rnacentral:rRNA from 1 species